rnacentral:rRNA from 1 species
CACGUAGGGUGCGAGCGUUGUCCGGAAUUAUUGGGCGUAAAGAGCUCGUAGGCGGUGUGUCGCGUCGGCCGUGAAAACCCGGAGCUCAACUCCGGGCCUGCAGUCGAUACGGGCGGACUUGAGUGUUGCAGGGGAGACUGGAAUUCCUGGUGUAGCGGUGAAAUGCGCAGAUAUCAGGAGGAACACCGGUGGCGAAGGCGGGGUCUCUGGGGCAAACUACUGCGUGGAGGAAGCGA